UAUAAAUAUAAACAAUAUGUAUAGUAAUCUACAUAUUCAUUUGGUUAUCUACAAGCAUAUACAGUUAUCUACAAUAUUAAAUUGAUAAAUCAGGAAUGUACUUCCAUGAUUCUCCCAAGUAGAACUUAUUGAGCAGAUACCUUUUAUUGGAAAAGUCAUGCUUGUAUGUUAGCCUUUCUGAUGCGAUGGUCUCUCUUUCUUCAAGAACUGGAUGGUCUCCAUUCACAAAGCAACUCAGGAUGGACUUCACUCAAGCAAUCAAUCAUUUGGCGAAUGAGAUUGGUAAUGUUUUCGUUGUCGUCCAAAUCAACCUCUGAUCCAUAUGCCAUUGCAAAUGCCUACAGUAUUAUGAAAAACUAGCUUUAUAUUGAGGCAAAAAGAUAGAACCAAACUUGAAGUUGAUCAUCUGAGAUUAUCCCAUCAAGAAUAAACACUGAAACCUGAGCCCAAAGUUUGAAGUCCCGGC
rnacentral:lncRNA from 1 species